UAUUAAAAGUUUCAUCCAAUUGUAUUGUUAGAAACUGUUGCGGCUAAUGGAAUAACUGGAAAUGAUGUAUGGCAUGUCACGUGUACCUCAUGUUGACGUGCGAAGAUCAAUUUUUAACGGUAGAAAUAAAUGAAAUUUUUAACA
rfam:Gossypium arboreum cultivar AKA8401 contig_46457_1, whole genome shotgun sequence.